CGGAUAAAAGGUACUCCGGGGAUAACAGGCUGAUACCGCCCAAGAGUUCACAUCGACGGCGGUGUUUGGCACCUCGAUGUCGGCUCAUCACAUCCUGGGGCUGGAGCAGGUCCCAAGGGUUUGGCUGUUCGCCAAUUAAAGAGGUACGUGAGCUGGGUUUAGAACGUCGUGAGACAGUUCGGUCCCUAUCUGCCGUGGGCGCAAGAGACUUGAGAGGAGCUGCCCCUAGUACGAGAGGACCGGGGUGGACGAACCUCUGGUGGACCAGUUGUUGCGCCAGCAGCAUUGCUGGGUAGCUAUGUUCGGACAGGAUAACCGCUGAAAGCAUCUAAGCGGGAAGCC
rnacentral:rRNA from 1 species